rnacentral:rRNA from 1 species
UGUAAGCGUAUACCAAAGUUGUUGCAGUUAAAACGCUCGUAGUCGGAAUUUGGCAGUUCCGGAUGUGUGCACGUCGUGUGCGCACUUCGCGGGGAUUGCUUUUGUGGUCUUGCGUAGGAUGAGGCACUUUUAUUAGUGAACGUCCUCACGCAACCAAUUUUUACUGUGAGAAAAUCAGAGUGCUCAAAGCAGGCAUUUGCCGUGAAUGUAUUAGCAUGGAAUAAUAGAAUAGGACUUGGUUCUAUUUUGUUGGUUUGUUGGGACUGAGUAAUGAUUAAGAGGGACAGUUGGGGGCAUUUGUAUUUCGGUGCUAGAGGUGAAAUUCUUAGAUUACCGAAAGACAAACUGCUGCGAAAGCGUCUGCCAAGGAUGUUUUCAUUGA